ensembl:lncRNA
CUGAUUUCUCCCGCUCCAUUGUUGCAGCAAACACAAAAGCCUCUACUGCCAACGUGGUCACCGCGCCUGCGUUGAAUUACACGGCAGACUAUUCUCUGGGCCUGAGCCUUUGUGGACUAGGAUGAGUCCCCUUCCUGGGCCAGAACUCGGCUCCUGUCACAGGCAGCACCUCGCCGGCGUAGGCGAGCUGUCUACUUUCCUCCCUCCCUCUGCCAGCCACAUCCACCCACCUACCCUUUUUUGUUCGGGCCUCGCUUGCCCUUUGGCUGGUGUGAGAUCACUCAGGCGGCGGGCUUGGGCAGACCUCCUCUCCACCUGCGCCUUUCACUCUCAAAUUAAGCACUGCACAUAAAAUCCCAGGCCUACUCAAUCAUCUUAUCUCUUUCUCACCCAUCUUGCCCCUCCCCCAGCCCCUGCCCAAAUCGGUUCUCUCAAAUUCCUUAAGCUGCCGUUGCCGUGAAACACAAACUUGCGGGCUGAAAGGUUUUCAGUGGUCUCUUCCAAAACCCCCAAAAUCAGAGGCCAAAAACGAAACGACAGCCUUAAGGUUUCCCAAAGCUCCCAGUCCUCCAGUCUGAAAAGAGCUACACGUAACUCACCACCGUCUACUCCGUGACCUGGUGUUCAACAUCGUGUUUGGAUUCUGGGAAAUUCAGUGGGGAAUUGGGAGAAGAAAUUUUAAGUUAUACCUAGGAGCAAUUGCAUGUAAAAGCUGGAAGGAAAGGAAAAACAUCCCAAGAUGCUCUAUGUCAAACUCCAGUUACCAUAAAUCAGUCAAGCAAGGAUGAUAUGCAAGUAUGUGUCAGUGGAUAUGGCACAAGUGCCAUCCAUCAGAAUAGAUGUCCACCAUUGGGAGUGGAUACUGGCCAGCAGCUGCAUGAGGGUGAACAAGCUGAACACUUCCCCUGAUGCCCACCGGGAUUGCAGCCCCAUGCUAGACAGUCGGAUGGGAGAGAAGGGAGCCCCCAAAUAUAACAAAUAAUCAUCUUUUCCUCAAAAUAUUUUACCAUUGACCAAAAAAUAAAAAUUAAACUAGAAUACAUGAAAUGAUCCUGAGUAUUAGAAGAC